rnacentral:sRNA from 1 species
AUGCGUUAGGGAUUGAAGCGGCAUCCUUUUUUGGCUGUGUGCAGCCAUAAAAGAUAUAGCGGAAAGCCCGGCUGUUG